rnacentral:rRNA from 1 species
GGGUAGUUUGACUGGGGCGGUCGCCUCCUAAAAUGUAACGGAGGCGCACGUAAGGUUGGCUCAGAACGGUUGGCAAUCGUUCGUAGAGUGCAAGAGCAUAAGCCAGCUUGACUGCGAGUCCUACAAGUCGAGCAGACACGAAAGUGGGUUCUAGUGAUCCGGCGGCUCAGAGUGGAAUGGCCGUCGCUCAACGGAUAAAAGGUACUCCGGGGAUAACAGGCUGAUCCUCCCCAAGAGUCCACAUCGACGGGAGGGUUUGGCACCUCGAUGUCGGCUCAUCGCAUCCUGGGGCUGUAGUAGGUCCCAAGGGUAUGGCUGUUCGCCAUUUAAAGCGGUACGCGAGCUGGGUUUAGAACGUCGUGAGACAGUUCGGUCCCUAUCCACCGUGGGCGUAAGAGACUUGAAGGAAGCUGCUCCUAGUACGAGAGGACCGGAGCGGACGAACCUCUGGUGUACCAGUUGUCGACCAACGGCACCGCUGGUUAGCUACGUUCGGCAGGGAUAACCGCUGAAAGCAUCUAAGCGGGAAGCCCAUCCUAAGAUGAGGUCUCUCACUGGGUUAACCAGGUAAGGCCCCUCGUAGACUACGAGGUUGAUAGGCUGCAGGUGUAAGCGCAGUAAUGUGUUCAGCCGAGCAGUACUAAUAGGCCGAGGUCUUGAUCUC